rnacentral:rRNA from 1 species
CACAAGUUGAGUAGGGAAAGUUUUUCGGUGUAGGAUGAGACUAUAUAGUAUCAGCUAGUUGGUAAGGUAAUGGCUUACCAAGGCUAUGACGCUUAACUGGUCUGAGAGGAUGAUCAGUCACACUGGAACUGAGACACGGUCCAGACUCCUACGGGAGGCAGCAGUAGGGAAUAUUGCGCAAUGGGGGAAACCCUGACGCAGCAACGCCGCGUGGAGGAUGACACUUUUCGGAGCGUAAACUCCUUUUCUUAGGGAAGAAUUCUGACGGUACCUAAGGAAUAAGCACCGGCUAACUCCGUGCCAGCAGCCGCGGUAAUACGGAGGGUGCAAGCGUUACUCGGAAUCACUGGGCGUAAAGGGCGCGUAGGCGGAUUAUCAAGUCUCUUGUGAAAUCUAAUGGCUUAACCAUUAAACUGCUUGGGAAACUGAUAGUCUGGAGUGAGGGAGAGGCAGAUGGAAUUGGUGGUGUAGGGGUAAAAUCCGUAGAUAUCACCAAGAAUACCCAUUGCGAAGGCGAUCUGCUGGAACUCAACUGACGCUAAGGCGCGAAAGCGUGGGGAGCAAACAGGAUUAGAUACCCUGGUAGUCCACGCCCUAAACGAUGUACACUAGUUGUUGGGGUGCUAGUCAUCUCAGUAAUGCAGCUAACGCAUUAAGUGUACCGCCUGGGGAGUACGGUCGCAAGAUUAAAACUCAAAGGAAUAGACGGGGACCCGCACAAGCGGUGGAGCAUGUGGUUUAAUUCGAAGAUACGCGAAGAACCUUACCUGGGCUUGAUAUCCUAAGAACCUUUUAGAGAUAAGAGGGUGCUAGCUUGCUAGAACUUAGAGACAGGUGCUGCACGGCUGUCGUCAGCUCGUGUCGUGAGAUGUUGGGUUAAGUCCCGCAACGAGCGCAACCCACGUAUUUAGUUGCUAACGGUUCGGCCGAGCACUCUAAAUAGACUGCCUUCGUAAGGAGGAGGAAGGUGUGGACGACGUCAAGUCAUCAUGGCCCUUAUGCCCAGGGCGACACACGUGCUACAAUGGCAUAUACAAUGAGACGCAAUACCGCGAGGUGGAGCAAAUCUAUAAAAUAUGUCCCAGUUCGGAUUGUUCUCUGCAACUCGAGAGCAUGAAGCCGGAAUCGCUAGUAAUCGUAGAUCAGCCAUGCUACGGUGAAUACGUUCCCGGGUCUUGUACUCACCGCCCGUCACACCAUGGGAGUUGAUUUCACUCGAAGCCGGAAUACUAAACUAGUUACCGUCCACAGUGGAAUCAGCGACUGGGGUGAAGUCGUAACAAGGUAACCGUAGGAGAACCUGCGGUUGGAUCACCUCCUUUCUA